GCGAACUGACAGCACGAGGAAGGCUCAGCGCAUGCCAGCUCCACUCACGGGAAAUGACUCACUGCAGCCCUGCUGCUCUCGGGCUCCGGGGGACACAUCCACAUUUCCUGUAUCUCGGCUAGAGCCUUGGGCAGUGUGAGCUGGCAGGGCAGAUCGCUGAAGGCGGCUAGAGAUAGAAAACCACCCAGCUCUGCAUCCUGAGACAAAGAAGCCUUUCCCUGGGCUCAUAUGAUAGAGGAGGAUUGCAAGCUCUUCGCUGAAGGAUCACAACUUAUAUCCCUCCUUCUGGUACUACUAGGAAACUUCGCAGUUCAAUAAGAAGCAUUGUCUCAAACUAAAUCAUUGCUUGUUGAAUGAGCACAGACUCCGAGCAACAUGCAGCCGGGGUUCCAUGACAGAUGAGACCUAGCCUGUCCCCAGGUAGCAACGAAAGACUGAAAUGAUUUAAAAGCAACCAAGAAAGGGUCACAAGGCAUUAAUACAGCCACCUGGCAAAGAGCAUAUCUGGAGACAGACGUUGACAGCCCCGGGUGGACAUUAGUUCUAUAGGAUGUUGUAAGAGGAAUGAAUCCAGGCAGGGUGAGGAGGCGGUGGGAAGUGAGCCCGGCCCUGAAGGUGGGCAAGAGCCAGGCAAGAAGAGGAGAAAGAUUGUUCUCAUGGUGGGAGGAAUGCAAGGCCACCUAUGGAAAUACAAGUGGAGCAGUUUGGCUGGAGAAAGGGGUUGUGUUUGCUUAUGGAGGCCUUGGAUGCCCCGUUGGGAGAAUGGACCUCACUUUCUGGGGCUGACUGUGUUGCGAUUUUUUUUCUCUUGAGCCAUGCCUGGAACACGGUUUGUAUUCAACAGCAACACACAAACUGACAGUUCCCUGCAAGGCUGUCAUAUGCCACUUGCUUCACAGAAACACCUCGCUUAUUUUAAGCCUGAAAACAAAGCCACAGGAUGAGUAUUAUUCUCAUUCCUAUGCUACAGAUAAGAAAAUCGAGGUUUCAAAAGACGGAAGAAUGAGGUUAAAGUCCCACGGCUAGUAAGUGGCACAGCUGGGAUUCAAACUCAGGUCUCUCUGGCUCCUAAGGCUAUGCCCCUCACCCAAGGGUUUUUGGCUGGUCAGUGGAUGCUCACUGAAUGCACCUAGGAUGCUGAGACUAUGUUCCUUAACCUUGGCCGGACAUUAGAAUCAUUUGGAAAGCUUACAUAUCCCUGCCGAGCAAACCCCAUUUUCAGGAAGUUUGGUUUAAUUGGUUGAAGAAGGGGUCUGAGAGUUUGUAAUGUAGUAAAAGCUUCUCAAGUUGCAGGGCUGAAGAUAAUUCCCCAUGGAUCCAGCCAGCAAAUCUCUGCUCCCCAUCAGAGUUCAUUGUUACCCCUGGGGAACAGACUAUCUUGGUCACUUCUGGCCAAAGUGGGUCCUGCCCUGGCCUCUGCUGGGUAGCUGAAUGCCCUGCUCUUGGGAAAGGAGGAAUGGUCCGCCUGGAAAGGUGCCUCUGAAGAAUGUGUUGCUUGACUCUGUGAAAUAGCAGAGGCUCUCCACCCACACCCGCUUCAUCUCAGCCUUUUCCGAGGUCAGAUUUCCCCUGGAGCCAAAACAAUGUGAGCAAUUGAAUGCACACUCACGCAAAAAGUUUAAAAAGUGGCUCUCUCAUUGUUGCACAGAGCAAUUUCAUUUCCUGAGAAGCCUGACUUGCUGGCCUCUGUGUUCUCCUCCCUGGCCUGUGCCUGCCCACCUCCUCUAGGAGCGCAGCCAGUUGUGUCCCUUGGGGGCACCCCUCAGAGACACCCCUCAGAGGC
rnacentral:lncRNA from 1 species